GACGAACGCUGGCGGCGUGCUUAACACAUGCAAGUCGAGCGGUAAGGCCCUUUCGGGGGUACGACGAGCGGCGAACGGGUGAGUAACACGUGGGUGACCUGCCUUUAGCUCUGGGAUAAGCCUGGGAAACUGGGUCUAAUACCGGAUAUGACUCCAUGAUGCAUGUUGUGGGGUGGAAAGCCUUGUGCGGCUGGAGAUGGGCCCGCGGCCUAUCAGCUUGUUGGUGGGGUGAUGGCCUACCAAGGCGACGACGGGUAGCCGGCCUGAGAGGGCGACCGGCCACACUGGGACUGAGACACGGCCCAGACUCCUACGGGAGGCAGCAGUGGGGAAUCUUGCGCAAUGGGCGAAAGCCUGACGCAGCGACGCCGCGUGAGGGAUGACGGCC
rnacentral:rRNA from 1 species